CAUGAGUGGCGGACGGGUGAGUAACGCGUGGGCAACCUGCCCUGUACAGGGGGACAACACUUAGAAAUAGGUGCUAAUACCGCAUAACGGGGGAGCCGCAUGGCACCCCCCUGAAAACUCCGGUGGUACAGGAUGGGCCCGCGUCUGAUUAGCUGGUUGGCAGGGUAACGGCCUACCAAGGCGACGAUCAGUAGCCGGCCUGAGAGGGCGGACGGCCACAUUGGGACUGAGACACGGCCCAAACUCCUACGGAAGGCAGCAG
rnacentral:rRNA from 1 species